rnacentral:rRNA from 1 species
AUUGAACGCUGGCGGCAGGCUUAACACAUGCAAGUCGAGCGAGCGGCGGACGGGUGAGUAAUGUCUGGGAAACUGCCUGAUGGAGGGGGAUAACUACUGGAAACGGUAGCUAAUACCGCAUACCAUCAGAUGUGCCCAGAUGGGAUUAGCUAGUAGGUGGGGUAAUGGCUCACCUAGGCGACGAGUCCUAGCUGGUAUGAGAGGAUGACCAGCCACACGGGAACUGAGACCGGGUCCAGACUCCUACGGGAGGCAGCAGGGGGGAAUAUUGCACAAUGGGCGCAAGCCUGAUGCAGCCAUGCCGGGUGUGUGAAGAAGGCCUUCGGGUUGUAAAGCACUUUCAGCGAGGAGGCGUUACUCGCAGAAGAAGCACCGGCUAACUCCGUGCCAGCCGCCGCGUAAUUC